UUUUAGUUAAUUUAAAUUUAAAUAGUAGCUGAAAUAUUUUUUUUGUAUGCACAGCUUUAUUGUUUUUGAAGGACUACACUUCACCUUAAUCUUUGAAAAUUUAACGUCUGAAUUGAGACGUACUAACUGCAGUGGCUAUGCAUAUCUUCCAGUGCAGAAACUUCCUGGGCACAGGAAGGACAUCUUGUAUACAAUGAGACCAUGAAGAAUGAGCUGAAGUCUGAAAAUCGCUCAUAGGACCAGGCAUAGCAUGGGCUUCAUCUCUCGUGGUUCCACUUGACAGUUAUCACUAUUACAAUGUUUCAAGAUACAGAGGGAUUGCAUUGAAGUUGCCAUGAAAAUAAAGG